UUGGUUUGUCCUAAGUCAAAUUGAUCCACUUUGACCAAGUUUAUAGAAAAAUAUAACAACAAUCAUACUAUUAAAUAUAUAGACUAUUAAAACAUAUUACAUGGUGGAUUCAAUGAAACAAAUUUGGUAUUGUAGAUGUUGUUAUAUUUUUCUAUAAACUCAGUCAAAGCUGAAUAAGUUUGACUUAGAAAAACCCUA
rnacentral:pre_miRNA from 1 species